rnacentral:tRNA from 1 species
CUUUGUAGUCUAGAGGUAUGAUACUUGCUUUGGGUUUCACGUUGCAAGUGGCCUGGGUUCAAAUCCCAGCAAGGC